CCUGCUACAGGAUUUAGGGGAGAAGAAAAGCAGGCUGGAGCUGCUGCUACUGCAGGAGGCCCAGGAAGAGCGCAGCUGCAGACGGCCAUGGCCCAAGACACUGCUGCUGCAUCUGGACCACCGAAAACACCAGCCCAGGACGGCAGCCCUGCUGCACCAUCUCCUGAGUCUACUAUACACUCAGCUACUGAAGAUGACCACACCAGGAGAAUCAGAGUAUCAGCAGCAUCUCUUAGACCAGAACAGUCAGUGGAAGAGACUCGCCGGCGUCUGGAAGAGUACCAACACACGCUAAGAAACGGCUAUUCUGUUGAAGAGCCUGUCCUUCCAGUCAGCUGUUAGACCCUCAGAACCAGACUACCUGUCCUCCACCACCAUCUCUUCUGGCAGCUUCGCCACUGACCCUGAACACACCUCCACCAAAAUAGACUCUUUUCUGCUCUUGGCUGGGUUUGGAAGAGGGAAAAAAUCAUUUGUAAUGGCUCCUCUUCGCGAAGACGCAGUUCCUGUAGGGACGUAUCUGGUCCUGGGUCUCCCAUCUCAGACUCACUCCUAAACAGCAGCAGUAUCCAGCGCAUCAUAGACAAAUAUACCAGGGAGCUCAACCUCUCUCUGUUCUGCUGGGAACCAGAUGGUGAUAGAGGGGUCAGUGUUUGAGGAGCCCAGCUUCUGUGUCCCAGCAACAGCAGAAGCAGAAGCCCUGGUCAAAGCAACUGCAGGAGAAUGAGGGACCAGACAGGUCACCUGUGUGGGGGGCCGACCCACACACUCUCCCCUUGGACACGGAGUCAGGAGCUCAGAGGAAUGGGACACUGUCAACCGAGGCAGGACUCCACUAUCAGUCCAAUGAUUGGCCAGCCCUUGGAUAAAUCAUCCUCACCGGGCCACAGGUGGGACUUGACUUAGCCGAAUGAUUGGCCAGCUCUCAGGUCAAUCAACCUCACUGGACCAAGGGUGGGAUUUGACUUUGAGCAGAAUGAUUGGCGGACUCUCCAAUCAGUCAACCUCUGUGAGCCAGCUGAUUGGUCAGAUUCGACUGGACCAGUCAUCCCAGUGGCUGGAUAAAGGCCAGGAUGAGAGCCAGAUGAUGGGGCCUCUGGUUGGAGAGCUGGAUGAGCCUGCUGCCCAAUGGAGUUGGAGCUCAGGAGCUGAUGGGUCUAACUCCCUAGGCUGGGUGGAUCUGAGAGGCUCAGGCCAGACAGGAGUGUCAUCUGACCAAGAGGGAGCCCCUGAAGCCCAUUCACAGAGCAGCUCCUUUCCCCCUGGACUAGAACCUCUGCCACACUACCAGUGCCUGCAGCGCUCUGGCACCAGUUCCCAGGAAGUAGACAGGACUGGGGUCACACACAACGAGACAGCUGAACCUCCAUGACCUUUCACCUUCCAGAAGAGGAAGUGGAGGGGGCCAUGUUCCCACGAAGAAGAAAGUGACCAUGAAGCACUUGCAGGGGACCUUGAACUCUCUGCAUGCUCAGAGGAGUUUGUGGAUGACACUUGGUCUGUCACCUCUGACCCCUCUCCUGAGUGCCUGAGAGGAGGGGAGGAACCACCUCAGCUCUCGCCUACCCUGCACGACUCCUUGUACCAGCUGACCACGUCCCAGUGCCUCCCUCAUAACUCUGCUCUGGAUGUAUCCCCAGGAGCAGAGGUGGGGGGGUAUGGCAGCAUGUUCCCUCUCAGGCUCCUCUCUCUGUGAAGAUGUCCCCACUUUGGACAAGCCACUUGAAGGCAGGGACACUGAUAUGGAGAGCACACCAGCACCUCAGACAGUUGACCAAGGAGGUGCUAUUAUUAAGGACCUGGGUGCAGGAGAGCCGGAUGCCCAGCUAUGUUCAGAGUCAAAGAUCAGGCCUCCCAUCUGGGAGAGAAUAAUGGUGGGCAGUGUGAAUGGGAUAAUGGACGAUUCCAUGCUGACCCUGGUGAGCCUGACAGACACCACAUUAAAGGACCACGGACUUGCUGAGGAAGGAGAGAUGGAUGAGGUAUCAGACCAAGAAGGCAUUGUGGAGAAGGAAUCCGAGUGGACAGUGUUGCCAGAGGAGGAUGCCAGCCUACAGGAGGAAGAGACAACCCCCUCUCAUGCAGGUGAGAACCAGAAGACCUGAAACUUCUGACUCUUCUCUCUUUCCUUCUGAGUCCUUUCUUGGUCUGAAGGUUGGGGAGGUGAGGAUCAGCACUCCUGAGAUGAGGAAACAGGAUGUGGCUGACAUGCGCCAGAGAACAGAGAGGUUGUACAGCUAACUAGAUGAGGUGAAGCUUCAGAAGGAGGUCAGGAGCAGACAGGAGGCAUAUGCCAAAGAGUUUCGCAAGAAAACCUUACAGAAGCUACGGGCCAAGCAGUCUCCACAAUGAUACUGAAUAUCAGUUUUAUCUGUUGUGUGUUCUGUUUGCACUUAUUUUGUACUUCCAUGUGUAUUUGUACAGUUUAAUCAGUAAUGUAAAAUAUAUUUUUAAAGUGUGUAUAUAAUCUUUAUUCAGUCUAUUCAUCACAACUUACUACUGUGUUCACACAACAAAAGCAGCCAGUGCACUAUUGCACCUUGAAUACUGCAGAUACACACAUUGCAUUAUGAGAAUGUUAUGUUGCCUGUAAAAAUAUUUUUGUUUUAGGUUUUUAUAGCCAAUAAAGUUGCUUGUUGAUGAUUUUGCCUAUCCUUAUAAGUUAUAUUAUGGGAGUUCACUUGAACUGAAAAGAUUGGAAAACUUCUAAACUUGUCACACGAAAUAAAGGCCUCCCACC
ensembl:lncRNA